UGGGGAAUAUUGCACAAUGGGCGCAAGCCUGAUGCAGCCAUGCCGCGUGUGUGAAGAAGGCCUUCGGGUUGUAAAGCACUUUCAGCGGGGAGGAAGGCGAUAAGGUUAAUAACCUUGUCGAUUGACGUUACCCGCAGAAGAAGCACCGGCUAACUCCGUGCCAGCAGCCGCGGUAAUACGGAGGGUGCAAGCGUUAAUCGGAAUUACUGGGCGUAAAGCGCACGCAGGCGGUCUGUCAAGUCGGAUGUGAAAUCCCCGGGCUCAACCUGGGAACUGCAUUCGAAACUGGCAGGCUAGAGUCUUGUAGAGGGGGGUAGAAUUCCAGGUGUAGCGGUGAAAUGCGUAGAGAUCUGGAGGGAUACCGGGGGCGAAGGCGGCCCCCUGGACAAAGACUGACGCUCAGGUGCGAAAGCGUGGGGAGCAAACAGG
rnacentral:rRNA from 1 species